CCUAGGAGAUGUUAGGGUGGCACUUAAGGAAUUUCUACUUCAGGUGAAUGACACAUAAAUAAAAUAGAACCUGGAUGUAAGGAUGUAUUCUACAAAUUGUUGGUGACCUCAGUAAACAGAAUGCAGAGUGAAUGACAUUCUGCUUCCCAAGGGGUUCAGAUGACUGGGUAUCAGUCCAUAGGGAUCAUGCUCUGAUAGGAAGCUGUCCUGGUUGUUAAGAUGCUGGAGACAGAAACAGUGAUGGAGAUGGUGAUUGCAGUGCUAACAAUUUUGGAGCUUCAGAGAGCCCCCAGUCAAGCUGCCUCCUGUACCUUCAUCAGGGAAUUCCUGAGAUGCAGUGUUUAUGAGUCGUCACCCUUGCUGGAGGUGGCCUUCCCAUGAUGCAGCUGUCUUUGAGUAACCCAUGUUUCUUGGUGGCCAAAGAAAUAAGUCUGAGAGCAUCGUGGCAUGGGAAAGAAAUGUGAGAGAUCUUCUAGAACCCUAUACCACCACACUGGGAAAUGGUCCUGGUACCUCCUCCUCCUUGCUGUUCACGUUUGCAAUCCAUCCCUGAUGUGGCUGGUGCUCAGUUCAAGAAGGGGAAAAUCUGAAAUGUACAAUAUAGUAUUUCAUGACAAGUGCCACGGUGGGUCCGGUGUUAAAUAGAACCUCCUACUGUAAAGUGUUAAGUCUUCAUGUGGCUGUGAGAGGAAAUCACACAAUAAGAAGAACUCCAAGAGAAGACAAGGAAUGGGGAAGGUAGAAAGCAAAGUUCAUGCAACAAAUUCUGUGUGUCACGUACAUUAAACAUGUACAAAUACAGUCUACUGGAGUCUUACAGAGAGCUGAAAAGGCCGAGAUGAUUUCUAAGGCAAACAGAAGAGUUCCAUUAUUGAACUUGGAGGACCCACAUUUGACCACAGUCUUGGUGUCAUGGUCUGAAUGUCGUUACAUCUUUGUUAUAUGUGCAUACAUGUUGACUUUUCUAAAGCCACUGAAAUGAGAGUAUGAAGAUGAAUAUACAAGGAUAGAUAGAGAGAUGGAUGGUAGACAGAGGACAGUUAGCAAGCCAAACAAGUUUUAUUUGUUUACAAAACAUUAAAAGACAUUAAUCAUCAUUUCAUCAUCACAUAUCACCAAGUGAUAUACUUUUGAUGAUGCUUCACUGGGAGAUUCUUUUCAAAGAACAGAAUGGUAUGACCAGUGAACCUUCUCUUGCCAUCUGAAAAUGGGGCAAUUGCACCGUAGACUCUCAAUGUCACGAGAAGAGGGGACAUGGAUAAUUGAUGGCAGUGUCUUUCUCUUCCCUGAUUCACCACAAGUAACUUGAAGGCAUUUGUUUUAUAAAUUAGCAGUUCAAAAAUUCAAAGAUAGCUCAGUGUUAGUGCUCUUGCCUAGAAGGCAUGUCCUGAGCCUCAUCCUCAGUACCAGCCCCAACACACAGAUGUGAAAUCUGGGGUUAGAGGGAUCAAGAGAAUUGCUCUUGAGUAAAAACAAGAGAGAGACAUCCAUCAUUCCUCACACCACAUGGAAGUCAAAGCCACAUCUAAAUUUCUCGGGCUGUACCUAACAAGACCCACUCCUUCAAAGAUGGCUGCUCAUUGAGUAUGAAAACAAGAGAGGUCGAUUUAAGGAGAUCAUUUAUCUCUAAAGGCUGCUUCACCACUGCUAAAAGCUACAAUAAAGUAAUGAAGGCUGUGGGGACAGAGAGGGUAGAGGGGGUCAGCAGCACAUGGAGGAGGAGGUGGCUGUCCUGGCACCGCAUGGAGGGUGUGGACAGGCUGAGAGGCACAGCCAGAAAUAGGAGGUGUGCAGAAACUCCCUCUGAGAGACGAUGACAAUGGGUGCAUUUCAGAGGAUAGGGUGCCCACCGAAGACAGGGAUCUGCACCCUAAAAGUGUCACAUUUUGACUUGGACACACCCAACAGAGCAUAUAAAGGAAAGGAAGAUGGGCAGGUAAAGUGAACCCCUAUAAGAGAGCAGAGGAACCUCACUGUCUCUUCCUUCAUGUGUCUAUUGUCAGGGUAGAAUGUUUUCUGAUGGAUCCACACACCAACCACAUGUAAUCACACAUGCACCCACACAGGCAUGUAUGCACACAUAAGUGGACAUGCAUCUGCACAUACACAACAUAUUCAUAGGCACAUGCAGUAGUCAAUUUUUUCUCCUUUAGAUAGACUUAGCUUUCUCUGAAAGAUUAAUGAAAGUGACAGAAUCUGGAUUUUGAAAGACAAGAAAUCCCUCUUCUCAGUGACUCCUGUCUGCUACAGUGAAGACCUGUCUAUGAAUCAGUGGUCAAUGUACAUGUAUGGAGCUGAAGCCACAGCAGGAGACACCAGUCAGAUGUGUGUGAGCAGUUUCCAGACUGCAGGCCAGGGGAGCAAAGAGCUGAAGGGUGACCUAUAGCCAUCUUUUCUCUAUAUUACUCUUUCCCUUUCAAAACUGACAAAACUUGUCUCCUUGGGAAGUAAGUCUAUGAAGGGUGACUUUGGACAGCUUAAGGAGAGAUGCAAGAGUAUCCAACAAUAAAUGUCACCUUUGGUUUC